GAUGAACGCUCGCGGCGUGCCUAAUACAUGCAAGUCGAGCGAACGGACGAGAAGCUUGCUUUUCUGAUGUUAGCGGCGGACGGGUUAGUAACACGUGGAUAACCUACCUAUAAGACUGGGAUAACUUCGGGAAACCGGAGCUAAUACCGGAUAAUAUUUUGAACCUCAUGGUUCAAAAGUGAAAGACGGUCUUGCUGUCACUUAUAGAUGGAUCCGCGCUGCAUUAGCUAGUUGGUAAGGUAACGGCUUACCAAGGCAACCAUGCAUAACCGACCUGGGAGCGUGGCCGGCCCCACUGCAUGUGGCCACCCGUUGAAAUUCCUACGGGGGAGAGCAGUCGCCGAUUGUCCGCCAGGGGAGAACUCCUGACGCUGCAACGCCACGUAGGUAAUCACUGUCUGCGGAUCGUAAAGCUCUUUUUUCAGAGACUAAUAGUUGUGUAAGUACCUGUCCACAGUGUGAGGGUACCCAGCCAGAAAGCCAGGGCUACCAACG
rnacentral:rRNA from 1 species